rnacentral:rRNA from 1 species
GACGAACGCUGGCGGCGUGCCUAAUACAUGCAAGUUGAGCGCUGAAGGUUGGUACUUGUACCAACUGGAUGAGCAGCGAACGGGUGAGUAACGCGUGGGGAAUCUGCCUUUGAGCGGGGGACAACAUUUGGAAACGAAUGCUAAUACCGCAUAAAAACUUUAAACACAAGUUUUAAGUUUGAAAGAUGCAAUUGCAUCACUCAAAGAUGAUCCCGCGUUGUAUUAGCUAGUUGGUGAGGUAAAGGCUCACCAAGGCGAUGAUACAUAGCCGACCUGAGAGGGUGGUCGGCCACAUUGGGACUGAGACACGGCCCAAACUCCUACGGGAGGCAGCAGGAGGGAAUCUUCGGCAAUGGACGAAAGUCUGACCGAGCAACGCCGCGUGAGUGAAGAAGGUUUUCGGAUCGUAAAACUCUGUUGGUAGAGAAGAACGUUGGUGAGAGUGGAAAGCUCAUCAAGUGACGGUAACUACCCAGAAAGGGACGGCUAACUACGUG